rnacentral:rRNA from 1 species
UGCGUAGGCGGUCUUUCAAGCCAGAAGUGAAAGGCUACGGCUCAACCGUAGUAAGCUUUUGGAACUGUAGGACUUGAGUGCAGGAGAGGAGAGUAGAAUUCCUAGUGUAGCGGUGAAAUGCGUAGAUAUUAGGAGGAAUACCAGUAGCGAAGGCGGCUCUCUGGACUGUAACUGACGCUGAGGCACGAAAGCAGUGGGGAGCAAACA